CUAAGCAUGAAGCCCCCCUCAAGAUGAGAUUUCCCAUAGCGUAAGCUAGUAAGAUCCCUGAAAGAUGAUCAGGUUGAUAGGUUCGAGGUGGAAGCAUGGUGACAUGUGGAGCUGACGAAUACUAAUAGAUCGAGGACUUAACCAU
rnacentral:rRNA from 3 species